CGGGUGAGUAAUACGUAGGUACAUGCCUUAUUGUGGGGGACAACUUCGGGAAACCGGAGCUAAUACCGCAUAAGCUCGAAAGAGGAAAGGGGGCGCAAGCUCUUGCAAUAAGAUUGGUCUCGCGGCCUAUCAGCUAGUUGGUGAGGUAAAGGCUCACCAAGGCGACGACGGGUAGCCGGCCUGAGAGGGCGACCGGCCACACUGGGACUGAGACACGGCCCAGACUCC
rnacentral:rRNA from 1 species